GCAUCGGACAGUAUUGCCAAUACAAUUUUAUUAAAAAUGGGUCUUUCUCUUUAUAAUUUUUGAAAAAGAGCCAAUUUCCAUUUCAUUUGCACAAAACUAUGUUACUUUCUAAGCCUUUACUCUGAAAGCUCCAGAGAAGUGGCUUCUGAACAGCAACGAGGAAGUACGUUCAACUGACGCAUCCGGUGAGAAAAAAGAAAGACAUACUGACAAGUCCACCGUGUUGCCACGUUGCCAGAGUCCCGUCUGUUUCACUGGUGAAUUCUGUCACCUCAGCCAAAGUACGGAAGGACGUGGAAUCCCCAUGCUUCGUUAGCAGCGCACAUGUUCUGGAGAACUCACAUGUAGGGCAGUACCAGUAGCUACGUGUCAGGAGGAAGUGGUCACUCCGUCCCAGGAAUUCACAGCUUUUGAAGAAGAUUUGGGGGCGAGUACUCAACAAUCGGAGAUCCAUCCGAAGGAGUGCAUGCAAGCAGAAUCUGGGACACUGCAAAAUGCAUUUACUCAGCCACUCUAUGAAUGUCCCUGUUCGCAUGAUGCCACUCUACGAACCACAAAGACGCAAGAACAAUAGACCCCAAGUCUCGUAAUUUGGCCUGGAGGCAUCAUCUCUGGAGAAUAUUCUUGAAAAUCGACUUUAUGAGUCCGUGGAUAUAUGGGCAUUUGUAAGAGCUUGUGUGCACCUGAGACUUUGCCGUUCCCAAUAUUUUCCAUGCUUCUGGAAGUCUUCACAAGGGCCCUCUGGUAGCAAGUUUUUAUGACAGAAGAACGCUCUGUAGGUACUGUGAUGUCCAGUUCAUGUCUGUAACUACCACAUAAGUAGUUGAUAUGGGUUGCAUUUUGUCCCUUCCAAAUGCAUAUAUUGAAAUGCCACCCCCUUGUAGCUCAGGAUGUGACUUGAUGUGGAGAUAGGGUCACUGCAGCUAUGAUGAGCUCAACUGCCAUGAAGUCCUCCUGGACUGGGAUGGAACCUUGAUCCAGAAUGACCGGUGUCUUACCAACAGAGGAAAUGUGUACCCAGAGACAUGCACAGAGGAGGAACACGACGUGGACAUUGGUCAUAUGCCUCCGUCAACUCAGAAACGAGCGAGAGUCUUGAGAAAGAGCGUGGCCCUGCUGGCUGGUCUUGAACUUGUCUCCUCCAACAGUGUAAGAAAAUAAUGGUGGUUAAAGUCACUCGGUUCCGCACACUUUGC
rnacentral:lncRNA from 1 species